rnacentral:rRNA from 1 species
UGGAAACGGUUGCUAAUACUCCAUAUGCCGAGAGGUGAAAGGAUUUAUCUACCUAAGGAGGAGCUCGCGUCUGAUUAGCUAGUUGGUAGGGUAAUGGCCUACCAAGGCGACGAUCAGUAGCUGGUUUGAGAGGAUGAUCAGCCACACUGGGACUGAGACACGGCCCAGACUCCUACGGGAGGCAGCAGUAGGGAAUUUUCCGCAAUGGGCGAAAGCCUGACGGAGCAAUACCGCGUGAGGGAUGACGGCCUGUGGGUUGUAAACCUCUUUUCUCAAGGAAGAAGUUCUGACGGUACUUGAGGAAUAAGCAUCGGCUAACUCUGUGCCAGCAGCCGCGGUAAUACAGAGGAUGCAAGCGUUAUCCGGAAUCACUGGGCAUAAAGCGUCUGUAGGUGGUUUGGUAAGUCUGCUGUUAAAGACUGGGGCUCAACCCCAGAAAAGCAGUGGAAACUGCUAGACUUGAGUGUGGUAGAGGUAGAGGGAAUUCCUAGUGUAGCGGUGAAAUGCGUAGAUAUUAGGAAGAACACCAAUGGCGAAGGCACUCUACUGGACCAUAACUGACACUGAGAGACGACAGCUAGGGGAGCAAAUGGGAUUAGAUACCCCAGUAGUC